AACGCGAAGAACCUUACCAAGGCUUGACAUAUGCCGGAAAACCAUGGAGACAUGGUCCCCCUUGUGGUCGGUAUACAGGUGGUGCAUGGUUGUCGUCAGCUCGUGUCGUGAGAUGUUGGGUUAAGUCCCGCAACGAGCGCAACCCUUGUUCUGUGUUGCCAGCAUGCCUUUCGGGGUGAUGGGGACUCACAGGAGACUGCCGGGGUCAACUCGGAGGAAGGUGGGGACGACGUCAAAUCAUCAUGCCCCUUAUGUCUUGGGCUGCACACGUGCUACAAUGGUCGGUACAAAGGGCUGCGAUGCCGCGAGGCGGAGCGAAUCCCAAAAAGCCGGCCUCAGUUCGGAUUGGGGUCUGCAACUCGACCCCAUGAAGUUGGAGUUGCUAGUAAUCGCAGAUCAGCAUGCUGCGGUGAAUACGUUCCCGGGCCUUGUACACACCGCGAGC
rnacentral:rRNA from 1 species